rnacentral:lncRNA from 1 species
CAGUAUUCAUUUAGCAACUUGGUAUUUCCUAACCUAUCCAAAUCAUACAAAAGUCCGCCACUACCGUCAUCGAAGUAAUAAUUGCCGAAAAAGGUAAUUUACAUGUUUACAUUUAACGUUAGAAAGAUAUCAGUUCAUAGACAUGAAUCUCCAUGCACUGCAGAGAUCGCAUUCCAGCCUGCGCCAAAACAUGCAUCUCUCGGCAGUGGGAGAAUUUAGCAUAUUUUUGUUUCAUAUCUUUUUUGUUAAAUAAACAGUAUAAAUAAAUUAUUCCUUCUAUAAAUAACAAUUUAUUUUUGCUUAAAAAAAAUCCAUCAUUUUUUUUAAGUUUUAAAAUAAUAAACAAGAAAAUGAAUAUAUUCAGUCCGCACAGUGCAGUGUGCCUAAACACUCUGCAUAGCACAGAGUGUUUUCCCAAACACUAUGCUGUACGGAGUGUUUCCCCAAACACUCCCUCCCUCCGAGCGCCCAAACACUCCAUUACAUGUUUUACAGCAUUUUGUUCUCUUUCAUUUACAUUUUUUUUUAAUAAUUUCAUUUAACCUACAAAAGCAACAUAAAAAUCAUA